rnacentral:rRNA from 1 species
GUGGCUUCCGGAGCUAACGCGUUAAAUCGACCGCCUGGGGAGUACGGCCGCAAGGUUAAAACUCAAAUGAAUUGACGGGGGCCCGCACAAGCGGUGGAGCAUGUGGUUUAAUUCGAUGCAACGCGAAGAACCUUACCUACUCUUGACAUCCAGAGAACUUAGCAGAGAUGCUUUGGUGCCUUCGGGAACUCUGAGACAGGUGCUGCAUGGCUGUCGUCAGCUCGUGUUGUGAAAUGUUGGGUUAAGUCCCGCAACGAGCGCAACCCUUAUCCUUUGUUGCCAGCGGUUCGGCCGGGAACUCAAAGGAGACUGCCAGUGAUAAACUGGAGGAAGGUGGGGAUGACGUCAAGUCAUCAUGGCCCUUACGAGUAGGGCUACACACGUGCUACAAUAGCAUAUACAAAGAGAAGCGACCUCGCGAGAGCAAGCGGACCUCAUAAAGUAUGUCGUAGUCCGGAUUGGAGUCUGCAACUCGACUCCAUGAAGUCGGAAUCGCUAGUAAUCGUAGAUCAGAAUGCUACGGUGAGUACGUUCCCGGGCCUUGUACACACCGCCCGUCACACCAUGGGAGUGGGUUGCAAAAGAAGUAGGUAGCUUAACCUUCGGGAGGGCGCUUACCACUUUGUGAUUCAUGACUGGGGUGAAGUCGUAACAAGGUAACCGUAGGGGAACCUGCGGC